GAUGAACGCUGGCGGCGUGCCUAAUACAUGCAAGUCGAGCGAACGGACGAGAAGCUUGCUUUUCUGAUGUUAGCGGCGGACGGGUGAGUAACACGUGGAUAACCUACCUAUAAGACUUGGAUAACUUCGGGAAACCGGAGCUAAUACCGGAUAAUAUUUUGAACCGCAUGGUUCAAAAGUGAAAGACGGUCUUGCUGUCACUUAUAGAUGGAUCCGCGCUGCAUUAGCUAGUUGGUAAGGUAACGGCUUACCAAGGCAACGAUGCAUAGCCGACCUGAGAGGGUGAUCGGCCACACUGGAACUGAGACACUGUCCAGACUCCUACGGGAGGCAGCAGUAGGGAAUCUUCCGCAAUGGGCGAAAGCCUGACGGAGCAACGCCGCGUGAGUGAUGAAGGUCUUCGGAUCGUAAAACUCUGUUAUUAGGGAAGAACAUAUGUGUAAGUAACUGUGCACAUCUUGACGGUACCUAAUCAGAAAGCCACGGCUAACUACGUG
rnacentral:rRNA from 1 species